GAGGGUGUAGCUCAGUGGUAGAGUGCAUACCUAGCAUACAUGAGGUCCUGGGUUCAAUUCCCAGUACCUCUG
rnacentral:tRNA from 1 species